AAUGUCUCCCUCUCUCUCAACACUCCCGAAGCCCAUGAUGUAAGUUAAAUGUAGCUACAUUUUUGUCCUUUCCACUUAUUUAUGUAAUCAUAACUAACAUUUAUUGUGUGCCUAAGUGUCAAGCAUUGUAACAAAAUAUUUAAUUAAAAAGUUAUUCUUUACAACAACCCUACCAUUAUCAUUAUCCUUAUUUGACAGAAGGAAAAAAAAUCUGAAGUUUAAACUUUCCAAAUUCAAGAAACAUGUCCAAAGACAUUGUUACAAACUGAAUAUUAUAUGUUCUCCCUGCUCCUCUCCCCACUCCCAUAUGCUAAAGCCCUAACUCCCAAUGAGAUGGAAUGUGGAGGUGGGGCUUGGGAGGUUAUUAGUUUUAGAUUAGAUCAUAAAGGUGAGGCUCUCUUGAGGGAUUAGUGGUCCUUCCUGAGACAGUCACCUGAAGGCAGAGUGAGAAGGCAGUCAACUGCAAGCCAGGAAGCAGGUCUGCAUCAGGAACCAAAUCUGUUCCCACCUUGAUCUUGGACUUCCCAGCCUCCAGAACUGUGAGAAAAUGUUGUUGAAGCCACCCAGUCCACGGUGUUUUGCAAUAGCAGCCUGAGCUCAGACACAGAGCCAGGAAGUAACCGAGAGCCAAGACUCAAAAUCUGCAUCUAUUCAUACCCAAGCCCUUCACCACAGAAAUACUCCGUUUAUCAUUUUUAAUGGCUGCCUAACAGUUUGUUGGAUUGAAUUUUCAUGAUUUACUCAUGAUGGCUGGAGCACUGGCAAUCUUCUGGUAUACAUGAAGAUGAGACCCACAUCUUGAUUUUAAAGAAGUAGAAGACAUGAAGGAGCCCAGGAUUCUGAAGACAGUGUGGAGUCAAUAUGCUAGUCUUGGAUUGCCUGCCUUCAGAUUUCCAAUUACAUGAGAGACCAAUAAAUCUAUAUUUUGUUUAAAUCACUGUUACUGGGAUUUUCUGUUUCAUGAAGUUGACACAGUGUAUAUCUGAUGUCCUGAAUUUGAUUGUGAGAAUCU
rnacentral:lncRNA from 1 species